UGCAAGUCGAGCGGACGGAAGGGAGCUUGCUCCCGGAUGUUAGCGGCGGACGGGUGAGUAACACGUGGGUAACCUGCCUGUAAGACUGGGAUAACUCCGGGAAACCGGAGCUAAUACCGGAUAGUUCCUUGAACCGCAUGGUUCAAGGAUGAAAGACGGUUUCGGCUGUCACUUACAGAUGGACCCGCGGCGCAUUAGCUAGUUGGUGAGGUAACGGCUCACCAAGGCGACGAUGCGUAGCCGACCUGAGAGGGUGAUCGGCCACACUGGGACUGAGACACGGCCCAGACUCCUACGGGAGGCAGCAGUAGGGAAUCUUCCGCAAUGGACGAAAGUCUGACGGAGCAACGCCGCGUGAGUGAUGAAGGUUUUCGGAUCGUAAAGCUCUGUUGUUAGGGAAGAACAAGUGCAAGAGUAACUGCUUGCACCUUGACGGUACCUAACCAGAAAGCCACGGCUAACUACGUGCCAGCAGCCGCGGUAAUACGUAGGUGGCAAGCGUUGUCCGGAAUUAUUGGGCGUAAAGGGCUCGCAGGCGGUUUCUUAAGUCUGAUGUGAAAGCCCCCGGCUCAACCGGGGAGGGUCAUUGGAAACUGGGAAACUUGAGUGCAGAAGAGGAGAGUGGAAUUCCACGUGUAGCGGUGAAAUGCGUAGAGAUGUGGAGGAACACCAGUGGCGAAGGCGACUCUCUGGUCUGUAACUGACGCUGAGGAGCGAAAGCGUGGGGAGCGAACAGGAUUAGAUACCCUGGUAGUCCACGCCGUAAACGAUGAGUGCUAAGUGUUAGGGGGUUUCCGCCCCUUAGUGCUGCAGCUAACGCAUUAAGCACUCCGCCUGGGGAGUACGGUCGCAAGACUGAAACUCAAAGGAAUUGACGGGGGCCCGCACAAGCGGUGGAGCAUGUGGUUUAAUUCGAAGCAACGCGAAGAACCUUACCAGGUCUUGACAUCCUCUGACAACCCUAGAGAUAGGGCUUUCCCUUCGGGGACAGAGUGACAGGUGGUGCAUGGUUGUCGUCAGCUCGUGUCGUGAGAUGUUGGGUUAAGUCCCGCAACGAGCGCAACCCUUGAUCUUAGUUGCCAGCAUUCAGUUGGGCACUCUAAGGUGACUGCCGGUGACAAACCGGAGGAAGGUGGGGAUGACGUCAAAUCAUCAUGCCCCUUAUGACCUGGGCUACACACGUGCUACAAUGGACAGAACAAAGGGCUGCGAGACCGCAAGGUUUAGCCAAUCCCACAAAUCUGUUCUCAGUUCGGAUCGCAGUCUGCAACUCGACUGCGUGAAGCUGGAAUCGCUAGUAAUCGCGGAUCAG
rnacentral:rRNA from 2 species